rnacentral:rRNA from 1 species
UACGAAGGGUGCAAGCGUUACUCGGAAUUACUGGGCGUAAAGCGUGCGUAGGUGGUUGUUUAAGUCUGUUGUGAAAGCCCUGGGCUCAACCUGGGAAUUGCAGUGGAUACUGGGCGACUAGAGUGUGGUAGAGGGUAGUGGAAUUCCCGGUGUAGCAGUGAAAUGCGUAGAGAUCGGGAGGAACAUCCAUGGCGAAGGCAGCUACCUGGACCAACACUGACACUGAGGCACGAAAGCGUGGGGAGCGAACAGG